rnacentral:pre_miRNA from 1 species
AUCACCUGGGGAUCUUGUUAAAAUGUAGAUGCUGAUGCAGUAUGUCUGGGGAGGGCCUGAUAUUUUGCAUUUCUAACAAGUUCCCAGGUGAUGCCUA